rnacentral:rRNA from 1 species
UAGAGUUAGAUUCUGAUCUCUGGAUUGAGGAUGAACGGCAGCGCGUGACACAUGCACAGUGCGAGCGGAUGAAGUAGAGCUUGCUCUGUGAUUCAGCAGCGGACGGGUGAGUAAUGCCUAGGAAUGCAACCUGGUAGUGGGGGACAACGUCUCGAAAGGGACGAAGAUUCGCAUACCUUAAACGGGAGAAAGCAGGGGACCUUCGGGCCAUGCGAUAUCAGAUGAGCCUAGCUCGGAUAAGAUAGGAUGGGAGGUAAUGGAUCGGCUAGGCAAGGAUCUGUAAUUGGUGUGGCAGGAUGGUCUGUUCCACCGCAAUUGAGACACGGUCCAGACUAGUAUCGUAGGCAGCAGUGCAGAAUAUAGGACAAUGCAAUAAAGCCUGAUCCAGCCAUGCCGCGUGUGUGAAGAAGGUAUUGCGAUAGUAAAGCUAAAUAAGUUGGGAGCAAGGGCAGUACUUUAAAAGUGUGGGAAGUUGACGUUACUGUCAGAAUAAGCACCGGCUAACUCCGUGCCAGCAGCCGCGGUAAUACAGAGGGUGCAAGCGUUAUUCGGAUUUAUUGGGUUUAAAGCGCGCGUAGGCGGUUGGUUAAGUCAGAUGUGAAAUCUCCCGGCUCAACUUGGGAACUGCCUUCAAAACUGACAAGCUAGAGGAGGUAGAGGUAGCUGGAAUAUCUAGUGUAGCGGUGAAAUGCGUAGAUAUGGAAGGAACACCAGUGCGAAGGCGGCCACCUGGUCUCAACGACGCGAGGUAGAAAGCUGAGCAAACU